AUCCCAUGUUGUGGACAUUUCCUUAACAAUUCCUUGUACCUUUCCCAUGUAGCAUAUAAGGUUUCUUAUUUCAUAUGCCUAAAAGAAGAAAUAUCACUCCUCAACUU